rnacentral:rRNA from 1 species
UACAGAGGGUGCAAGCGUUAAUCGGAAUUACUGGGCGUAAAGCGUGCGCAGGCGGUUUUAUAAGUCUGAUGUGAAAGCCCCAGGCUCAACCUGGGAAGUGCAUUGGAUACUGUAAGACUUGAGUACGGGAGAGGAUAGUGGAAUUCCGAGUGUAGGGGUGAAAUCCGUAGAUAUUCGGAGGAACACCGGUGGCGAAGGCGGCUAUCUGGGCCGAUACUGACGCUGAGACGCGAAAGCGUGGGGAGCAAACAGGAUUAGAUACCCUUGUAGU